GUAGGUGGCAAGCGUUGUCCGGAAUUAUUGGGCGUAAAGCGCGCGCAGGCGGUUCUUUAAGUCUGAUGUGAAAGCCCACGGCUCAACCGUGGAGGGUCAUUGGAAACUGGAGAACUUGAGUACAGAAGAGGAAAGCGGAAUUCCACGUGUAGCGGUGAAAUGCGUAGAGAUGUGGAGGAACACCAGUGGCGAAGGCGGCUCUCUGGUCUGUAACUGACGCUGAUGCGCGAAAGCGUGGGGGGAGCAAACAGGAUUAGAUACCCUGGUAGUCCACGCCGUAAACCGAUGAGUGCUAAGUGUUAGGGGGUUUCCGCCCCCCCCUUAGUGCUGCAGCUAACGCAUUAAGCACUCCGCCUGGGAGUACGGCCGCAAGGCUG
rnacentral:rRNA from 1 species